UAACCUGCCUUGGAGUGGGGAAUAACAGCUGGAAACAGCUGCUAAUACCGCAUAAAAUAUCUGUGUCGCAUGGCACUGGAUAUCAAAGAUUUAUCGCUCUGAGAUGGACUCGCGUCUGAUUAGCUAGUUGGCGGGGUAACGGCCCACCAAGGCGACGAUCAGUAGCCGGACUGAGAGGUUGGCCGGCCACAUUGGGACUGAGACACGGCCCAGACUCCUACGGAAGGCAGCAG
rnacentral:rRNA from 1 species